rnacentral:rRNA from 1 species
GAUGAACGCUAGCUACAGGCUUAACACAUGCAAGUCGAGGGGCAGCAUGGUCUUAGCUUGCUAAGGCCGAUGGCGACCGGCGCACGGGUGAGUAACACGUAUCCAACCUGCCGUCUACUCUUGGACAGCCUUCUGAAAGGAAGAUUAAUACAAGAUGGCAUCAUGAGUCCGCAUGUUCACAUGAUUAAAGGUAUUCCGGUAGACGAUGGGGAUGCGUUCCAUUAGAUAGUAGGCGGGGUAACGGCCCACCUAGUCUUCGAUGGAUAGGGGUUCUGAGAGGAAGGUCCCCCACAUUGGAACUGAGACACGGUCCAAACUCCUACGGGAGGCAGCAGUGAGGAAUAUUGGUCAAUGGGCGAGAGCCUGAACCAGCCAAGUAGCGUGAAGGAUGACUGCCCUAUGGGUUGUAAACUUCUUUUAUAAAGGAAUAAAGUCGGGUAUGGAUACCCGUUUGCAUGUACUUUAUGAAUAAGGAUCGGCUAACUCCGUGCCAGCAGCCGCGGUAAUACGGAGGAUCCGAGCGUUAUCCGGAUUUAUUGGGUUUAAAGGGAGCGUAGAUGGAUGUUUAAGUCAGUUGUGAAAGUUUGCGGCUCAACCGUAAAAUUGCAGUUGAUACUGGAUAUCUUGAGUGCAGUUGAGGCAGGCGGAAUUCGUGGUGUAGCGGUGAAAUGCUUAGAUAUCACGAAGAACUCCGAUUGCGAAGGCAGCCUGCUAAGCUGCAACUGACAUUGAGGCUCGAAAGUGUGGGUAUCAAACAGGAUUAGAUACCCUGGUAGUCCACACGGUAAACGAUGAAUACUCGCUGUUUGCGAUAUACUGCAAGCGGCCAAGCGAAAGCGUUAAGUAUUCCACCUGGGGAGUACGCCGGCAACGGUGAAACUCAAAGGAAUUGACGGGGGCCCGCACAAGCGGAGGAACAUGUGGUUUAAUUCGAUGAUACGCGAGGAACCUUACCCGGGCUUAAAUUGCAGAUGAAUUACGGUGAAAGCCGUAAGCCGCAAGGCAUCUGUGAAGGUGCUGCAUGGUUGUCGUCAGCUCGUGCCGUGAGGUGUCGGCUUAAGUGCCAUAACGAGCGCAACCCUUGUUGUCAGUUACUAACAGGUUCCGCUGAGGACUCUGACAAGACUGCCAUCGUAAGAUGUGAGGAAGGUGGGGAUGACGUCAAAUCAGCACGGCCCUUACGUCCGGGGCUACACACGUGUUACAAUGGGGGGUACAGAGGGCCGCUACCACGCGAGUGGAUGCCAAUCCCCAAAACCUCUCUCAGUUCGGACUGGAGUCUGCAACCCGACUCCACGAAGCUGGAUUCGCUAGUAAUCGCGCAUCAGCCACGGCGCGGUGAAUACGUUCCCGGGCCUUGUACACACCGCCCGUCAAGCCAUGGGAGCCGGGGGUACCUGAAGUGCGUAACCGCGAGGAGCGCCCUAGGGUAAAACUGG